rnacentral:rRNA from 1 species
GAUGAACGCUAGCUACAGGCUUAACACAUGCAAGUCGCGGGGCAGCAUGGGGGUUGCUUGCAAUCCCCGAUGGCGACCGGCGCACGGGUGAGUAACGCGUAUCCAACCUGCCCUUCACCACGGGAUAACCCGGCGAAAGUCGGACUAAUACCGUAUGUUGUCCAUUGACGGCAUCCGAUUUGGACGAAAGGUUUGGCGGUGAAGGAUGGGGAUGCGUCCGAUUAGCUGGACGGCGGGGUGACGGCCCACCGUGGCGACGAUCGGUAGGGGUUCUGAGAGGAAGGUCCCCCACACUGGAACUGAGACACGGUCCAGACUCCUACGGGCGGCAGCAGUGAGGAAUAUUGGUCAAUGGGCGUAAGCCUGAACCAGCCAAGUAGCGUGCAGGAUGACGGCCCUAUGGGUUGUAAACUGCUUUUAUGCGGGGAUAAAGUGGCCCACGUGUGGGUUUUUGCAGGUACCGCAUGAAUAAGGACCGGCUAAUUCCGUG